rnacentral:lncRNA from 1 species
AGAAAGUUUGUUACCCGCUGGUUACAAGGAAACUCCCCUGUCCUACCUACUAGUCAGUUACCAGUUUGAGGUCUGUUUCCCCUGCAAAUCGCCGGCUAGAUUCAAAUUGUUUCUGCUUUCAUCCUUACCCAACGGACUAAAGCAAGUUCUUGCCUAAAACACACCGGGUUCAUCCCCGACUUCAGUCGGAGGGCCGCCGUCCAUCAUGACGUCUAUCAUCGGAGCUCACACAAAUCACCGCUAAAC